rnacentral:lncRNA from 1 species
CAUCAGGAGGCAGUGAUAAGAAGGUGGCUAUAGUUAUGCAAUUGCCAAGACGAUGGGCUCAUAUAUUUAUCUGCAAUAGUCUUUACAGUUAUGAAAAUUGAGAACUGAUAACCUUUUUUAAAAAAAAAUUACCAAAGCCGGAAAUGCUAUAGUUUCUUCAUCAUUUGAAGAAGAAAGCCUUGAACAGAGAUAAAAUUAUCUGACCUAUGCUGCAUGAGUGCCCAGUUAGGCUUGUUUAGAAGAAAAAUAGGUGUACUUCUGGGAGUAGCUCACAAGGACUGCUGCUGAGAAUGGUGUUGCUGCACCCCACUUAUUCCCUGUCCUCCCACAGAGUACUCCAGGAUUAUACAGGGGUCCUGACUCCCAAAAACAUCUUCAUGUCAUAAAAACACCAUGCUGGAGCUGGAUAUUCAACAUGAGCAGAAGGACAGACCAAACAUGCUUCAGACACAGAAGAG